rnacentral:rRNA from 1 species
UACGUAGGUGGCAAGCGUUGUCCGGAAUUAUUGGGCGUAAAGCGCGCGCAGGCGGUCCUUUAAGUCUGAUGUGAAAGCCCACGGCUCAACCGUGGAGGGUCAUUGGAAACUGGGGGACUUGAGUGCAGAAGAAGGAGAGUGGAAUUCCACGUGGUAGCGGUGAAAUGCGUAGAGAUGUGGAAGGAACACCAGUGGCGAAGGCGACGUGACUCGUGGUCUGGAGUAACUGACGCUGAGGCGCGAAAGCGUGGGGAGCAAACAGG